GAUGAACGCUGGCGGCGUGCCUAAUACAUGCAAGUCGAGCGAACAGACGAGGAGCUUGCUCCUCUGACGUUAGCGGCGGACGGGUGAGUAACACGUGGAUAACCUACCUAUAAGACUGGGAUAACUUCGGGAAACCGGAGCUAAUACAGGAUAAUAUAUUGAACGGCAUGGUUCAAUAGUGAAAGAGGGAUUUGCUGACACUUAUAGAUGGACCCGGGCCGCAUUAGCUAGUUGGUAAGGAAACGGCUUACCGAGGCAAGGAUGCGUAGACGACCUGGGAGGUGGUCCGUCCACCCUGAACCUGGGCACCGGCCCAGACCCCUACGGGAGGCAGCGGUAGGAAAUCUUCCGCAAUGGGCGAAACCCUGACGGAGCAACGCCGCGUGAGUGAUGAAGUUCUUCGGUUCGUAAAACUCUGUUAUUAGGGAAGAACAAAUGUGUAAGUAACUAUGCUCGUCUUGACGGUACCUAAGCAGAAAGCCACGGCUAACUACGU
rnacentral:rRNA from 1 species